rnacentral:rRNA from 1 species
UUUUUCUACGGGGGGCAGCAGUAGGGAAUCUUCCACAAUGGACGAAAGUCUGAUGGAGCAACGCCGCGUGAGUGAAGAAGGGUUUCGGCUCGUAAAGCUCUGUUGGUAGUGAAGAAAGAUAGAGGUAGUAACUGGCCUUUUUUUGACGGCAAUUACUUAGAAAGUCACGGCUUACUACGUGCCAGCCGCCGCGGUAAUACGUAGGCGGCCAGCGUUGUCCGGAUUUAUUGGGCGUAAA